rnacentral:rRNA from 1 species
UGGAAACCGGAGCUAAUACCGGAUAAUAUUUUGAACCGCAUGGUUCAAAAGUGAAAGACGGUCUUGCUGUCACUUAUAGAUGGAUCCGCGCUGCAUUAGCUAGUUGGUAAGGUAACGGCUUACCAAGGCAACGAUGCAUAGCCGACCUGAGAGGGUGAUCGGCCACACUGAACUGAGACACGGUCCAG